UACGAAGGGGGCUAGCGUUGCUCGGAAUCACUGGGCGUAAAGGGUGCGUAGGCGGGUCUUUAAGUCAGGGGUGAAAUCCUGGAGCUCAACUCCAGAACUGCCUUUGAUACUGAAGAUCUUGAGUUCGGGAGAGGUGAGUGGAACUGCGAGUGUAGAGGUGAAAUUCGUAGAUAUUCGCAAGAACACCAGUGGCGAAGGCGGAGCUCACUGGCCCGAGUACC
rnacentral:rRNA from 1 species